rnacentral:rRNA from 1 species
UACGUAGGGGGCAAGCGUUGUCCGGAUUUAUUGGGCGUAAAGAGCGUGUAGGCGGCCAUGUAGGUCCGUUGUGAAAACUCGAGGCUCAACCUCGAGACGCCGAUGGAAACCAUGUGGCUAGAGUCCGGAAGAGGAGAGUGGAAUUCCUGGUGUAGCGGUGAAAUGCGUAGAUAUCGGGAGGAACACCUGUGGCGAAAGCGGCGCACUGGACCACAUCUGACGCUGAGGCGCGAAAGCUAGGGGAGCAAACGGG